GGGUACUGAACAUCGAAUUUUUAGGAGUUAUUACCCAAUGGUGGGGUAUUGUCCAAUGGUGGGGUAUAUUGUCCAAUGGUGGGACAUUUGGCUCCGUUUAGAGGUGAAAUCCGGAUCAUGAGCAUUUGCAUAUAGACUGACCAAUAGGAAUUAACGCAUUUUAGUCAGGUUGUAACUCAAGACGAGGUGUGGUGAUUAUGGAACUGAGUAAUGUGUCUUGUACGGUCUAAUUAUUUAUUUGG
rnacentral:lncRNA from 1 species